rnacentral:rRNA from 1 species
UACGAAUGGAGCAAGCGUUGUUCGGAAUCACUGGGCUUAAAGCGUGCGUAGGCGGACAUGAAAGUCAGGAGUGAAAUCCCCGGGCUUAACCCGGGAAUUGCCUUUGAAACUCCAUGUCUAGAAUCCGGUAGAGGUCAGGAGAAUUCCAAGUGUAGAGGUGAAAUUCGCAGAUAUUUGGAGGAAUACCAGUGGCGUAGGCGCCUGACUGGGCCGGUAUUGACGCUGAGGUACGAAAGCAUGGGGAGUAAACAGG